rnacentral:rRNA from 1 species
AUUUGCAAAAUACUGGGAUGAAUUGUGGUCAGGAGUGAAAGGCUAAUGAAAU